rnacentral:misc_RNA from 1 species
GAUGAAGAACGUAGUGAAAUGCGAUACGUAAUGUGAAUUGCAGAAUUCAGUGAAUCAUCGAAUCUUUGAACGCAUAUUGCGCUCUCUGGUAUUCCGGAGAGCAUGCUUGUUUGAGUAUCAGUAAACACCUCAACUUCCAUAUCUUUUUUGAAAUGGGAGUUGGACUUGAGUGAUCCCAACGCUUUUCCUCACCGAAAAGUGGCGGGUUACUUGAAAUGCAGGUGCAGCUGGACUUUUCUCUGAGCUAUAAGCAUAUCUAUUUAGUCUGCCUAAAAAACAGAUUAUUACCUUUGCUGCAGCUAACAUAAAGGAGAUUAGUUCUUGUGCUGACUGAUGCAGGAUUCACAAAGACAGGCUUCGGCCGACUUUGUAAACUCGAUCUCAAAUCAAGUAAGACUACCCGCUGAACUUAAGCAUAUCAUUAAGCGGAGGA